AUCAUGCUGACGAGUCUAAAAACAGGACGUAACGCGCGUCCUGAAU
rnacentral:hammerhead_ribozyme from 1 species